ACGCUCGACACCUACGGCAGGCAGCAGUAGGGAAUCUUCCACAAUGGACGCAAGUCUGAUGGAGCAACGCCGCGUGAGUGAAGAAGGUUUUCGGAUCGUAAAGCUCUGUUGUUGGUGAAGAAGGAUAGAGGUAGUAACUGGCCUUUAUUUGACGGUAAUCAACCAGAAAGUCACGGCUAACUACGUGCCAGCAGCCGCGGUAAUCUGAGCGGGCUGGCAGGC
rnacentral:rRNA from 1 species